UACAGAGGUCCCAAGCGUUGUUCGGAUUCACUGGGCGUAAAGGGUGCGUAGGCGGUCGGGUAAGUCUGAUGUGAAAUCUCACAGCUUAACUGUGAAACUGCAUUGGAUACUAUCCGGCUCGAGGAAUGGAGGGGAGACUGGAAUACUUGGUGUAGCAGUGAAAUGCGUAGAUAUCGGGAGGAACACCAGUGGCGAAGGCGGCUUUCUGGUCUGCUCUUGACGCUGAGGCGCGAAAGCUAGGGUAGCAAACGGG
rnacentral:rRNA from 1 species